CUCUAGUUUUAUUCCUGUGGCAUGGUCAGAGGAUGUACAUGAUGACUUCAAUUUGUUGCACUCUCUGUGUCACCUUGUGUGUGGUCUGUCUCUGUGUUCGGAGGGCACUUGGAAAGGCAUAGGCUGCCGAUGUUGGGUGGAGUAAUGUAUUCUAUAAAAGCCAGUUGUUCUGUCCUUGCCAAUUUCUGUCUAGUUUGAACAAUGUUUGAGAGGGGCACUGAAAUCUCCAAACUGUAAUUGUGAAUGUAUCUGUUUCUCUUUUCUCAGUUUCACUUUAUGUAUUUUAUAACUAUCUUAUCUGGUACAUAUACAUUUAAAAUGUCUAGGCCUUCUUGGUGAUUUUUACCCUUUUAGAAUUAUAUAUUGUCCUUUACUGUCCCUAGAAGUUUUCUUUGCUCUGGGAUAUACUUCUUGAUAUUUUGACCAAUGUCUGCAUAAUAUACAAUUUUUCAUCCCUUUACUUUUGGGUUUUUUUUCUUUUCUUUUUUCUUUUUUUUUUUUGACAGGCUCUCCUAGGUAUUCCAGGCUGGCCUCAAUCUCACAGCAAUCCUCCAGCAUCAGCCUCCCUAGUGUUGGGAUUAUAGGUGUGCCCCACCACGCCCAGCUUUUCUAUUCCUCUUAUGUAAAUACCAGAGUGGAAUUUCUGGGCCAUAUCAAAGUACUUUCUUCUUUUUCUUUUCUUUCCUUCUUUCCAGGGCCUUGUGCGGGCUAAGCAGGCGCUGUACCAUUGAACUCCACCCACCUGUAAAUGUUGUAAUGAACCUCCAGCCCUGGGCAGUAGAUGUGGACUUCCCUAACCCACCCCCUUCUCCAACUGUUGAUGACAAUCGCUUCCAUUUUAGUCACUCCACUUGAACGGCAGGAUCUCAUUGGAGCUUUUAAUUUUCAUUAACAGCUGCCUGGAACAUACAUGUGAUGGCUGGAGUGCUGGCAUCCAUCUUAACAAUGAAGUGGACAUAGGACUAAAAGGCCCAAGACUGAAGGAGCUUGAGACAUCGUGAAGAUACAGCCACAAAACUGUCUACUUUCAUACUUCUUGUACAUGAGACAGAAAUAAACUUCUAUCUUGUAUUAGCCUAUAUUAUUCAGGACUAUUCCUCAC
rnacentral:lncRNA from 1 species